rnacentral:rRNA from 1 species
CCCUUAGAUGUUCUGGGCCGCACGCGCGCUACACUGAUACAUGCAACGAGUUUAUAACCUUGUUCUGACGGUCUGGGUAAUCUUCAAACUGUAUCGUGUUAGGGAUCGAUUCUUGCAAUUUUUAAUCGUAAACGAGGAAUUCCUAGUAAACGCAAGUCAUCAGCUUGCAUUGAUUACGUCCCUGCCCUUUGUACACACCGCCCGUCGACUCUACCGAUUGAAUGGUUCGGUGAAAACUUUGGACUGUGGCAUUGUCCUUCAUUGGACUUCGCCGUAGGAAAUUGUUUAAACCUCAUCAUUUAGAGGAAGAAUAAGUCGUAACA